GACGAACGCUGGCGGCGUGCUUAACACAUGCAAGUCGAACGAUGACGACCGAGCUUGCUCGGUCUGAUUAGUGGCGAACGGGUGAGUAACACGUGAGCAACCUGCCCUUCACUCUGGGAUAACCUCGGGAAAUCGGGGCUAAUACCGGAUAUGAGCUCCUGUCGCAUGGCGGGUGUUGGAAAGUUUUUCGGUGAAGGAUGGGCUCGCGGCCUAUCAGUUUGUUGGUGAGGUAGUGGCUCACCAAGGCUAUGACGGGUAGCCGGCCUGAGAGGGCGACCGGCCACACUGGGACUGAGACACGGCCCAGACUCCUACGGGAGGCAGCAGUGGGGAAUAUUGCACAAUGGGCGAAAGCCUGAUGCAGCGACGCCGCGUGAGGGAUGACGGCCUUCGGGUUGUAAACCUCUUUCAGCAGGGAAGAAGCGAAAGUGACGGUACCUGCAGAAGAAGCGCCGGCUAACUACGUG
rnacentral:rRNA from 1 species